ACUUUGCAAUGUGCGAAAGCACGACAAGGUUAAUCCGAGUGUUUCCUGCUAAAGGAAUCUUUUGUCAGUCGUAAAACCACUAACGAAUAAGGGGUGGGCAAGUUCUGGUGUCAGCCGCCGCGGUAAAACCAGCACCUCAAGUGGUCAGGAGGAUUAUUGGGCCUAAAGCAUCCGUAGCCUGCUUUGUAAGUUUUCGGUUAAAUCCAUAUGCUCAACAUAUGGGCUGUCGGGAAUACUGCAUAGCUAGGGAGUGGGAGAGGUAGACGGUACUCCGUAGGAAGGGGUAAAAUCCUUUGAUCUAUGGAUGACCACCUGUGGCGAAGGCGGUCUACCAGAACACGUCCGACGGUGAGGGAUGAAAGCUGGGGGAGCAAACCGGGAUUAGAUACCCCGGGUAGU
rnacentral:rRNA from 1 species